rnacentral:rRNA from 1 species
UACGUAGGGUGCAAGCGUUGUCCGGAAUUAUUGGGCGUAAAGAGCUCGUAGGCGGCUUGUCACGUCGACUGUGAAAACCCGGGGCUCAACUCCGGGCCUGCAGCCGAUACGGGCAGGCUAGAGUUCGGUAGGGGAGACUGGAAUUCCUGGUGUAGCGGUGAAAUGCGCAGAUAUCAGGAGGAACACCGGUGGCGAAGGCGGGUCUCUGGGCCGAUACUGACGCUGAGGAGCGAAAGCGUGGGGAGCGAACAGG